UACGAAGGGUGCAAGCGUUACUCGGAAUUACUGGGCGUAAAGCGUGCGUAGGUGGUUCGUUAAGUCUGUCGUGAAAGCCCCGGGCUCAACCUGGGAAUGGCGAUGGAUACUGGCGGGCUAGAGUGCGGUAGAGGAGAGUGGAAUUCCCGGUGUAGCAGUGAAAUGCGUAGAGAUCGGGAGGAACAUCAGUUGCGAAGGCGGCUCUCUGGACCAGCACUGACACUGAGGCGCGACAGCGUGGGGAGCAAACAGG
rnacentral:rRNA from 1 species